CAGACGAGGAGCUUGCUCCUCUGACGUUAGCGGCGGACGGGUGAGUAACACGUGGAUAACCUACCUAUAAGACUGGGAUAACUUCGGGAAACCGGAGCUAAUACCGGAUAAUAUAUUGAACCGCAUGGUUCAAUAGUGAAAGACGGUUUUGCUGUCACUUAUAGAUGGAUCCGCGCCGCAUUAGCUAGUUGGUAAGGUAACGGCUUACCAAGGCGACGAUGCGUAGCCGACCUGAGAGGGUGAUAGGCCACACUGGAACUGAGACACGGUCCAGACUCCUACGGGAGGCAGCAGUAGGGAAUCUUCCGCAAUGGGCGAAAGCCUGACGGAGCAACGCCGCGUGAGUGAUGAAGGUCUUCGGAUCGUAAAACUCUGUUAUUAGGGAA
rnacentral:rRNA from 1 species